CAUCAGGGUGUGCCCUCUCUACCUACAGAACCUGUGUCUGCACCUUCUCAUGACAGCCCUAUAAAUGCAGGCUGGCUCCUCACUACCCACACACUAGGCUUUGGCUCACCCUUCCUCAAGGUGACUUUCAGCCAUGAAGACACUUGUCCUCCUCUCUGCCAUUGUCCUGCUGGCCUUUCAGGCCCUGGCUGAUCCUCUGCCUGAAGCAACUGGGAAAGCUAAAAAUGAGGAACAGCCAGGGGUAGAAAACCAGGAUGUGUCCAUUUUCCUUGUAGGCCCUGAAGGCUCUGCUCUCCAAAGUUCAGGCAGAAGAGGAGGGAUCUUGGUGUGCUCCUGUAGAAGAUCCUGCCAUUUUCCUGGACGAAGUGCAGGGUUCUGCGGCCAUGGACCAAACCCCCCCAAAUUCUGCUGCCGCUGAGACCUGAGACAACAUCACCAUGUGCUCUGAGACCUCAUGAUCUGUCAUUACCCUUGUACUUAGCCUCAACUGGUUUUCCUUCUCCAAUAAAUUUCCUUGCAGAA